AUUGUUUGAGCAUCCUCUGUUUAUUAGUUGCGGGUUUAAAAUCUUCUGUGCGAAUCUCGCAGUCAAAAUUUGUGGGUCUAUUUCAGAGGCCAAAGAACUCACCCGGCUUCGAGAACUGAUAGUUUCUCUUUCCACCCUUGGGACUUUCAUGUGAUUGAAGAGGAGAGGAAGCAGAUGCUCGGUGGGGGGUGGGUUACAACCCUUGAGUCCUUGACAUUCCCCCUUUCUUACGAACAAGGGAGUUUAUAGAAUCAUUGGCGGCAUGGUGCGGUGGUCUUGAUGAAGAAGAAGAUCCUUUCUUCAAGGAAAAUGGGACGAGGAAAGUGUGUAAGCCUUAGGCAAGGAGGAUGGAUUCGCUAUGGUGUGUUGUAUCGUGAAUUACCAAGGUUUUAAUACCCCAUCAGACUUUUCACAGGCCGGAGCGAAUAAGGCGUGGUUUAGAAACCGUCAGAAGAUGGCAAAACUUGACUUUCAGAAAAGCGUAUUGCAGACAAACACCAUCUGUCAUAAGUUUGUCCAGUAGUUAUGUGAAAGCACGUAUGUACCAUAAAUAGUUUGGUUUUGUUUCUUCCUGUAACUAGUUUGACUGAUAUUUUUUAGAUGCGCUAUAAUGUCAUGGAGUUAUUGCAAAUAGUUAAACUAGAGCAAAUGGUUUGUUAUUAUUGCUAAAGUUUAACCCAAAUUUUGCAUCAUGAGAUAGACUUUGGUGUAUGCCUGCAUAUCUACAAAUUUUGGUUGUAAGUUUAGUUGCCUAAAUUUUAAAUGAAAACUCUGUCGUUGAGUUUUC